AAAGGUAGCAUAAUUAUUAGUUUUUUAAUUGAAAGCUUGUAUGAAGGGUUGGACGAGAUAAAAUCUGUCUUUAUUUAAAUUACAAUAGAAUUUAACUUUUAAGUCAAAAGGCUUAAAUGUAUAUAAAAGACGAGAAGACCCUAUAGAUCUUUAUUUAAUUAAUAUUUUGAUAAUUUAAGAUUAUUUUAGUUUAAAGUUUUAAUUAAAUUUUAUUGGGGUAAUAUAGAGAUUAAAUAAAUUCUUUUUAUUUAUUACAUUGCUUUAUGAAUAUAUGAUCCAAUAUUAUUGAUUAUAAGAUUAAGUUACCUUAGGGAUAACAGCGUAAUUUUUUUGGAGAGCUCAUAUCGAUAAAAAAGUUUGCGACCUCGAUGUUGGAUUAAAAAUUAGCUUGGGUGCAGAAGCUCAAGAUUUUGGUCUGUUCGACCAUUAAAUUUUUACAUGAUCUGAGUUCAGACCGGCGUAAGCCAGGUCGGUUUCUAUCUUUAUUUAUCUAAAAUAUUUUAGUACGAAAGGACCAAAUAUUUAAUAUAAUUAUAUUUCUUUUUUGAAUAAUAUU
rnacentral:rRNA from 1 species